rnacentral:misc_RNA from 1 species
CGCACCUUGCGCUCCUUGGUAUUCCGAGGAGCAUGCCUGUUUGAGUGUCGUGAAAUUAUCAACUCCCUUUCUUUAUUGAAAGGUGAGCUUGGACUUGGGGAUUGCUGACGCAAGUUGGCUUCCCUUGAAUGUAUUAGCUAGAACAUGGUUCAUAGCAUAUAUGCGGUGUGAUAAUGUCGUCACUGUGUAGCUUUAAAUCAUCUGGCUUCAAACUGUCUCUCGGGACAACUUUUGAUCAUUUUGACCUCAAAUCAGGUAGGACUACCCGCUGAACUUAA